AAAUCACUUGGAUAAUAGGUCAAAAUGCAACACAAAUGAACGUUAAUAGUGCUAUUAAUAUCAAAGUUUCGGUAAAAAGUUUGGCGCUAGUUCAACGCGCAUCGUAUACAGCCUCAUAACAAUAGACUGACAACCUUUUGGGUAGUAAAGUAGUAAUACAAGGCAAUAUGGCGACCGUUAGCCACGAGGCCUAUCUUACGGAGGAAUCCGAGAUAGCCGAUGUAUCACGAUUGUUGACAACUCGGAUUUUGCAAAAUGGUUGAAGAAUAAGUCAUUGUUGUAUCUUUUCUUAAUAAAAGCAUUCGAUGAUUAACGAUUUUGGCAUAUUGCAUUACGCCAAGGGAGAUGUUUACUUAGGAUUCCAUGCCAUUAAUGUGCAGGCUGUUGCUGACGCCAGCAUGAGCAAUAUCUGAGCACCAAUGAUGAGGGUCAUCUGCUGGGAGAUAGUGGGUAUCCGUUAAGGACUAACCUGAUGACCCCUUAACCUCAUCCCUUCCAUGCUGCGGAACAGGCCUACAAUGACCAUCUAUGUAGAGGAUAUCUGCAUGCCACUGGUGAAUGUUGGCCUUUCAAGUCCAAUAAGUGCUGUGAAAUAUCAACUGUGUACAUGCCCCUGCAUAACCUGUGUUUGGAUUCAAACGUUCCACUGACAGAGGAAUUGGUUGGAAACGUGAUGGAACCGGAAGUUAUGAACAACACACCAGUACAUCGAGCAGCAUGUGAUAAGAGGCAG